rnacentral:rRNA from 1 species
GACGAACGCUGGCGGCGUGCUUAACACAUGCAAGUCGAACGGAAAGGCCCUGCUUGCAGGGUACUCGAGUGGCGAACGGGUGAGUAACACGUGGGUGAUCUGCCCUGCACUUCGGGAUAAGCCUGGUAAACUGGGUCUAAUACCGGAUAGGAGCCAUUUUUAGUGUGAUGGUUGGAAAGUUUUUUCGGUGUAGGAUGAGCUCGCGGCCUAUCAGCUUGUUGGUGGGGUAAUGGCCUACCAAGGCGGCGACGGGUAGCCGGCCUGAGAGGGUGGACGGCCACAUUGGGACUGAGAUACGGCCCAGACUCCGACGGGAGGCAGCAGUGGGGAAUAUUGAACAAUGGGCGCAAGCCUGAUGCAGCGACGCCGCGGGGGGGAUGACGGCCUUCGGGUUGUAAACUCCUUUCGCUAGGGACGAAGCUUUUUGUGACGGUACCUAGAGAAGAAGCACCGGCUAACCACGUG